AACGAACGCUGGCGGCAGGCCUAACACAUGCAAGUCGAGCGCCCAGCAAUGGGAGCGGCGGACGGGUGAGUAACACGUGGGAAUAUGCCUUUCGGUUCGGAACAACUCGGGGAAACCCGUGCUAAUUCCGGAUACGCCCUUACGGGAAGAUUUAUCGCCGAAAGAUUAGCCCGCGUCCGAUUAGCUAGUUGGUGAGGUAAUGGCUCACCAAGGCACCGAUCGGUAGCUGGUUUGAGAGAACGACCAGCCACACUGGGACUGAGACACGGCCCAGACUCCUACGGGAGGCAGCAGUGGGGAAUCUUGGACAAUGGGGGAAACCCUGAUCCAGCCAUGCCGCGUGAGUGAUGAAGGCC
rnacentral:rRNA from 1 species